rnacentral:rRNA from 1 species
GCUUGCUGGGCGGAUUAGUGGCGAACGGGUGAGUAAUACGUGAGUAACCUGCCCUUGACUCUGGGAUAAGCCUGGGAAACUGGGUCUAAUACUGGAUACUACCUCUUGCCGCAUGGUGGGUGGUGGAAAGGGUUUUACUGGUUUUGGAUGGGCUCACGGCCUAUCAGCUUGUUGGUGGGGUAAUGGCUCACCAAGGCGACGACGGGUAGCCGGCCUGAGAGGGUGACCGGCCACACUGGGACUGAGACACGGCCCAGACUCCUACGGGAGGCAGCAGUGGGGAAUAUUGCACAAUGGGCGGAAGCCUGAUGCAGCGACGCCGCGUGAGGGAUGACGGCCUUCGGGUUGUAAACCUCUUUCAGUAGGGAAGAAGCGAGAGUGACGGUACCUGCAGAAGAAGCGCCGGCUAACUACGUGCCAGCAGCCGCGGUAAUACGUAGGGCGCAAGCGUUGUCCGGAAUUAUUGGGCGUAAAGAGCUCGUAGGCGGUUUGUCGCGUCUGCUGUGAAAGCCCGGGGCUCAACCCCGGGUCUGCAGUGGGUACGGGCAGACUAGAGUGCAGUAGGGGAGACUGGAAUUCCUGGUGUAGCGGUGAAAUGCGCAGAUAUCAGGAGGAACACCGAUGGCGAAGGCAGGUCUCUGGGCUGUUACUGACGCUGAGGAGCGAAAGCAUGGGGAGCGAACAGGAUUAGAUACCCUGGUAGUCCAUGCCGUAAACGUUGGGCACUAGGUGUGGGGGACAUUCCACGUUUUCCGCG